UACGUAGGGGGCAAGCGUUGUCCGGAAUCAUUGGGCGUAAAGAGCGUGUAGGCGGUCCGGUAAGUCGGCUGUGAAAGUCCAGGGCUCAACCCUGGGAUGCCGGUCGAUACUGCCGGACUAGAGUUCGGAAGAGGCGAGUGGAAUUCCCGGUGUAGCGGUGAAAUGCGCAGAUAUCGGGAGGAACACCUAUGGCGAAGGCAGCUCGCUGGGACGUUACUGACGCUGGAGACGCGAAAGCGUGGGGAGCAACAGG
rnacentral:rRNA from 1 species